rfam:Biomphalaria glabrata isolate BB02 unplaced genomic scaffold LGTN_random_Scaffold1467, whole genome shotgun sequence.
UGGCUGGGCGGUAAAGCGCUUGGCUUCUGAACCAGAGGUCCCGGGUUCAAAUCCUGG